GACGAACGCUGGCGGCGUGCUUAACACAUGCAAGUCGAACGGAAAGGCCCCUUUGGGGGUCCUCGAGUGGCGAACGGGUGAGUAACACGUGAGUAACCUGCCCUUGACUUCGGGAUAACUUCAGGAAACUGGGGCUAAUACCGGAUAGGAAUCCUUGCUGCAUGGUGGGGGUUGGAAAGCUUCGGCGGUUUUGGAUGGACUCGCGGCUUAUCAGCUUGUUGGUGGGGUAGUGGCUUACCAAGGCUUUGACGGGUAGCCGGCCUGAGAGGGCGACCGGCCACAGUGGGACUGAGAUACGGCCCAGACUCCGACGGGAGGCAGCAGGGGGGAAUAUUGCACAAGGGGCGGAAGCCUGAUGCAGCAACGCCGCGUGCGGGAUGACGGCCUUCGGGUUGUAAACCGCUUUCAGCAGGGGCGAAGCUUGUGGUGACGGUACCUGCAGAAGAAGCACCGGCUAACUACGUG
rnacentral:rRNA from 1 species